rnacentral:rRNA from 1 species
UACGUAGGGUGCGAGCGUUGUCCGGAAUUACUGGGCGUAAAGAGCUCGUAGGUGGUUUGUCGCGUUGUUCGUGAAAUCUCACGGCUUAACUGUGAGCGUGCGGGCGAUACGGGCAGACUUGAGUACUGCAGGGGAGACUGGAAUUCCUGGUGUAGCGGUGGAAUGCGCAGAUAUCAGGAGGAACACCGGUGGCGAAGGCGAGUCCCUGGACAACACCUGACACUGAGGCACGAAAGCUAGGGGAGCAAACAGG